CAGGUACAGCGGGAAGCCACCUGGCGACAGGGAGCGGAACCCGAAAGCCUGUCUCAGUUCGGAUUGGAGUCUGCAACCCGACUCCAUGAAGCUGGAUUCGCUAGUAAUCGCGCAUCAGCCACGGCGCGGUGAAUACGUUCCCGGGCCUUGUACACACCGCCCGUCAAGCCAUGGAAGCCGGGGGUGCCUGAAGUGCGCUGCCGCAAGGAGCGCCCUAGGGUAAAACCGGUGACUGGGGCUAAGUCGUAACAAGGUAGC
rnacentral:rRNA from 1 species